CGACCUCGCGAGAGCAAGCGGACCUCAUAAAGUGCGUCGUAGUCCGGAUUGGAGUCUGCAACUCGACUCCAUGAAGUCGGAAUCGCUAGUAAUCGUGGAUCAGAAUGCCACGGUGAAUACGUUCCCGGGCCUUGUACACACCGCCCGUCACACCAUGGGAGUGGGUUGCAAAAGAAGUAGGUAGCUUAACCUUCGGGAGGGCGCUUACCACUUUGUGAUUCAUGACUGGGGUGAAGUCGUAACAAGGUAACCGUAGGGGAACCUGCGGUUGGAUCACCUCCUUACCUUAAAGAAGC
rnacentral:rRNA from 1 species